AAAGUGCUUCCUGUUUUGGGCGU
rnacentral:miRNA from 1 species